GUACCGUGAGGGAAAGGUGAAAAGCACCCCGAUAAGGGGAGUGAAAUAGUUCCUGAAACCGGAUGCCUACAAGCAGUUGGAGCCUCUAUAUGGGGUGACAGCGUACCUCUUGCAUAAUGGGUCAGCGAGUUAGUCUUACAAGCGAGCUUAAGCCGUUAGGUGUAGGCGCAGCGAAAGCGAGUCUGAACAGGGCGACUGAGUUAAAUGGAUUAGACCCGAAACCCGGCGAUCUAGUUAUGAGCAGGUUGAAGGUGCGGUAACACGCACUGGAGGACCGAACCCACGUCUGUUGAAAAAGACGGGGAUGACUUGUGAUUAGGGGUGAAAGGCCAAUCAAGCCGGGAGAUAGCUGGUUCUCCGCGAAAACUAUUUAGGUAGUGCCUCAGGUAUUACCUACGGGGGUAGAGCACUGGAUGGAUGCGGGGGGCGCGAGCCUUACCAAUUCUAACCAAACUCCGAAUACCGUAGAGUAGAGCCUGGGAGACAGACUGUGGGUGCUAAGGUCCAUAGUCGAGAGGGAAACAGCCCUGACCACCAGCUAAGGUCCCUAAAUCAUGUCUAAGUGGGAAAGCAUGUGAGACGGCCAUAACAACCAGGAUGUUGGCUUAGAAGCAGCCAUCAUUUAAAGAAAGCGUAACAGCUCACUGGUCUAAUUAAGCUGUCUUGCGGCGAAGAUGUACCGGGGCUAAAGACAUGUACCGAAGCUGUGGAUGUGCACUUUGUGCACGUGGUAGCGGAGCGUUCCGUAAGCCGUUGAAGGUGUGGCGCGAGCCAUGCUGGAGGUAUCGGAAGUGAGAAUGCUGACAUGAGUAGCGAUAAAGAGUGUGAGAGACACUCUCGCCGAAAACCCAAGGGUUCCUGCGCAAGGCUAAUCCGCGCAGGGUGAGUCGGCCCCUAAGGCGAGGCCGAAAGGCGUAGUCGAUGGGAAACGGAUUAAUAUUUCCGUACUUGGUAUAAUUGCGAUGGGGGGACGGAGCAGGCUAAGCAAGCAUGGCGAUGGUAGUCCAUGUGAAAGUGUGUAGGCUAGUGACUUAGGUAAAUCCGGGUUGCUGUUAGGCUGAGACACGAGACGAGUCACCAAGGUGAUGAAGUUGCUGAUGCCAUACUUCCAGGAAAAGCCUCUAAGCUUCAGAUCACAUGCGACCGUACCCCAAACCGACACAGGUGGUCAGGUAGAGAAUACCAAGGCGCUUGAGAGAACUCGGGUGAAGGAACUAGGCAAAAUGGCACCGUAACUUCGGGAGAAGGUGCACCGGUUCGAGUGAAGGACUUGCUCCGUAAGCUCUUACCGGUCGAAGAUACCAGGUGGCUGCAACUGUUUAUUAAAAACACAGCACUCUGCAAACGCGCAAGCGGACGUAUAGGGUGUGACGCCUGCCCGGUGCCGGAAGGUUAAGAGGAGAUGUUCGCUUCGGCAAAGCAUUGAAUUGAAGCCCCGGUAAACGGCGGCCGUAACAAUAACGGUCCUAAGGUAGCGAAAUUCCUUGUCGGGUAAGUUCCGACCUGCACGAAUGGUGCAACGAUCUGGACACUGUCUCAGCCAUGAGCUCGGUGAAAUUGUAGUAUCGGUGAAGAUGCCGAUUACCCGCUACGGGACGAAAAGACCCCGUGCACCUUUACUAUAGCUUAGUAUUGACUUUGGACAAGUGAUGUGUAGGAUAGGUGGGAGACAUUGAAGCAGCGUCGCCAGGCGUUGUGGAGUCAUUGUUGAAAUACCACCCUUUACUUGUUUGAAGCCUAACUUCGAAGAGAAGGACAGUGCUUGGUGGGUAGUUUGACUGGGGUGGUCGCCUCCAAAAGAGUAACGGAGGCUUCUAAAGGUUCCCUCAGCACGCUUGGUAACCGUGCGUAGAGUGCAAUGGCAUAAGGGAGCUUGACUGAGAGACCUACAAGUCGAUCAGGUACGAAAGUAGAGCAUAGUGAUCCGGUGGCGCCGCAUGGAAGGGCCAUCGCUCAA
rnacentral:rRNA from 1 species